CGAGCCGGCCGGGCGGUCGCGAGCGCAGUGCCUCCGGGCGCGCGUUCGAGGAAAGUCCGGACUGCGCAGGGCACGGUGCCGGAUAACGUCCGGCGGGGGCGACCCCAGGGAAAGUGCCACAGAAACAUACCGCCCGCGGCCAGCGGGAGCACCGCAACCCGGCGUGAUGCCGCCGGGCGCCGCGGGUAAGGGUGAAAUGGUGCGGUAAGAGCGCACCGGCGUCGAGGCGACUCGACGGCUGGGCAAACCCCACCGGCAGCAAGGCCGAGUAGGAGGGCGAUGACGCGGCCCGCGGAGCCCUCGGGUAGGCCGCUGGAGUCGCCGGGCAACCGGCGGCCUAGAUAGAUGAC
rnacentral:RNase_P_RNA from 1 species